rnacentral:rRNA from 1 species
GACGAACGCUGACGGCGUGCUUAACACAUGCAAGUCGAACGAUGAAGCUAGAGCUUGCUCUGGUGGAUUAGUGGCGAACGGGUGAGUAACACGUGAGUAACCUGCCCCGAACUCUGGGAUAACUGCUGGAAACGGUAGCUAAUACCGGAUAUGACCAAUGAAGGCAUCUUCUGUUGGUGGAAAGAAUUUCGGUUCGGGAUGGACUCGCGGCCUAUCAGCUUGUUGGUGAGGUAACGGCUCACCAAGGCGACGACGGGUAGCCGGCCUGAGAGGGUGAUCGGCCACACUGGGACUGAGACACGGCCCAGACUCCUACGGGAGGCAGCAGUGGGGAAUAUUGCACAAUGGGCGCAAGCCUGAUGCAGCAACGCCGCGUGAGGGACGACGGCCUUCGGGUCGUAAACCUCUUUUAGUAGGGAAGAAGCGAAAGUGACGGUACCUGCAGAAAAAGCACCGGCUAACUACGUGCCAGCAGCCGCAGUAA